rnacentral:rRNA from 1 species
CAGUCGCCGCGGGAAUACAGAGGGUGCGAGCGUUAAUCGGAUUUACUGGGCGUAAAGCGUGCGUAGGCGGCUUCUUAAGUCGGAUGUGAAAUCCCUGAGCUUAACUUAGGAAUUGCAUUCGAUACUGGGAAGCUAGAGUAUGGGAGAGGAUGGUAGAAUUCCAGGUGUAGCGGUGAAAUGCGUAGAGAUCUGGAGGAAUACCGAUGGCGAAGGCAGCCAUCUGGCCUAAUACUGACGCUGAGGUACGAAAGCAUGGGGAGCAAACAGGAUUAGAUACCCCGGUAGUCCCUGUCUCUUAUAA